CAUUCGCUCCUCCCUAUCCAUAUGCUGCCUUGGAGACUCAGCCCUACUCCUAACUUAAAACGGAGAGUACUACCUGCCAUAUGACUGUGCCCCACCAGUUUCGGUUACUGACCCAGGAGUAGACAUCUGACUCAAGCCGGGUUGCUUGAAUUUUCUCCCAGGAAUUUGGAAUAGGGACAAAGAGGCUGAGUCAUUUAGCUGUGUGGAGCCAAGCUGCAAGGUCAUGCCCAUUGGCCUGCCACAGCAGGCUGAAACCUCAUGCUAGCCACGGUGAAGGGAAGCUGAGAAACCAUGAGUCAGCAGAAAAAGCCAGUCUACGAGCAAAAGAGCACAAAGAUGGGGCAGACAGAUGCCCAGAGUCAAAUAGAGAGGCCAUGUACCUUGAAAGGCACAGGAGAGAAAGAGAGAGAAAUAAAAUCUGCAUAAUCCCCUUCUUGGUCCUAUAAUGCCCAGCAGCUGUAUCUCCAGCACUGGCUUAUUGUGACCCCAUAAUAACCUCUGCCUUUCAGUCAACCCUCUUUUUAUUUGAGCUAAGUGGAAUUCUGUUCCUUGCAUGCAAAUUCUUCCUAAGACACUUCACAAUUCAUAUUGAAUAUAUUUUGGGGCGGAAAGGCUGUUCUGCUCUUUAUGACGAUUAUGGAAAUUGAGGUUUUAUCUCAAGACCCGCAACAGGCUGAGCAGCUUUCUGCAUUCUCGCCACUAAUUAUCCAGACUCCGGAGACUGAGCUUUCAAGGUGAGUGGUUUUCAGAGCUUCAGAUGGGAGCCAGCCCCAUUUGAGGUCUUUCCCCAAGGAUAUCUUAGAGAUACUCAGUUCAGGAAGAGAGAUCUUAUUGUAGAAUGUAGCUGCCACCUUGGGAACAUAUGUCAGGACUUCCUAAAGUCUUUUUGCUUAAAAUUUCCAAGAAAAUGUGGAGCCUGAUUUCUUAUAAAGCCACUUUUCCUUUAAAAGUACUUGCAGAAUCUCUACAGGCCCAAGGUGUCUGUGAAGAGCUCAGGUACUAUUUCUGUGCUAAUCUCUAUAGAAUAAAAGAAAGAACUCAUUUAAAAAAUUCCACUUGUCUUUCUCAAAUUAUUAGAACUAAUCCUAGAAUGAAAUGAUGGAGAAAUGGUUGAGUAAAUUAGAGUCCAUCAGCUGGUAGAAUACUAUGCAAGUGUUAAAAGGGAUAACUAACAAGAUUAAACAACAUGGAAAGACGUUUUUGAUUCAAUGAAUGAGGAAAAAGGUAGAAUACAAAAUUGUAAGUAUCAACCAUGUGAAAAUGGGUUUACAGAAGGACAUUUUUCUUGGUAGUCUUUAACAAGGUAAUUGAGGUAGCCACAACCAACUCACAGAUCUUGGUAUGUAAGGUAAAAUCGAUUGAACAUUUCUGCCUUAGAUAAUUUUGGCUAAGGUAAUGUCACUGUCCUAGUUCAGUCCCAGAAUUUCUUCCUAUAUUGGUCUGAUUCUGUGCCUUGUGCUGAUCUACUUUUGUGCUGGUCCAUAGCACUCCCAACUGAUGGGACCUACUGAUGAUAGAGGGACCACAGUCCCUCCAUCUGUGGUUAAUCUGGUAUGGAGAUCUUUUGCUUGGCACCACAAAGAUUUUAAGAACUAUAUUUAAAUUGCUUUAAUUUUUUUUUCCUGCCUACUCUUUUCCAAAUCUGUGUCAAGGUGGAGAUGUGACUGUCUUCCAGUAUGCUAAUAACGUCUGUAAAGUUUCUGGGAAAACCUGCCAAAGCUAAGGACAAAGAAAGGAAAACCUAAUGAAUGUGACAAAGGUACCCGGCAAUGUUUUGAGGGAGAGAUUUCACAAGCUGCCGAGGUGGCCCAAAAGAAUUUACAGGGAAGGCAGGGAAAGUCCUCCCACUCUGCCUGGACUCUGAAACUUUAUACCCAGCCACCCUUCCAUGGGGAUGUCCACUCCACUGCCACCCCAAGCCAGGCUGCACCUGCAGGAACCCUGUCCCACCUGUUCAGGCUCUGAGCCCACACAGCAAGCAGCCCUCCUGUGCAGACACUUUUCUCACCCUGCUGGGGCUCCAGCACCCAACUCUGUACCACGGUGGCUUCCCCCAUUAGUCACAGAUGUUAUCCUGCUCUGCCCCACCUAAAGGCUUUUGCACCAAAUUGUUGAGAGAGGGAACGGAAGAAAAUCCCAAAUGACAUAUUUUUGGGAGCGAGAAAUGGGCACUGAAUCUUGAUCCAAAUGGGUGGGAAAUGUGGAAUGCUGAGCAGGGAGAGGCAGGGAGAUGAAGUUAGUACACAGUAGAGGGCUUGAGGCUUGAAGAAAUACCAGCUA